UAGCUAGUUGGUGGGGUAAGGGCCUACCAAGGCGACGAUCGGUAGCUGGUCUGAGAGGAUGACCAGCCACACUGGAACUGGGACACGGUCCAGACUCCUACGGGAGGCAGCAGUGGGGAAUAUUGGACAAUGGGGGCAACCCUGAUCCAGCAAUGCCGCGUGUGUGAAGAAGGCCUGAGGGUUGUAAAGCACUUUCAGUGGGGAGGAGGGUUGAUAGGUUAAGAGCUAAUUAACUGGACGUUACCCACAGAAGAAGCACCGGCUAACUCCGUGCCAGCAGCCGCGGUAAUACGGAGGGUGCGAGCGUUAAUCGGAAUUACUGGGCGUAAAGGGUACGUAGGUGGUUGAUUAAGUUAUCUGUGAAAUUCCUGGGCUUAACCUGGGACGGUCAGAUAAUACUGGUUGACUCGAGUAUGGGAGAGGGUAGUGGAAUUUCCGGUGUAGCGGUGAAAUGCGUAGAGAUCGGAAGGAACACCAGUGGCGAAGGCGGCUACCUGGCCUAAUACUGACACUGAGGCACGAAAGCGUGGGGAGCAAACAGGAUUAGAUACCCUGGUAGUCCACGCUGUAAACGAUGUCAACUAGCUGUUGGUUAUAUGAAAAUAAUUAGUGGCGC
rnacentral:rRNA from 1 species